CCCGGACUUCUCGCAUUUUCUGCAAACUUCGAACCAGACGAACUCAGCACAGAGGGGAGCUUCAGUGACUACGUGAAAAUAUCAAGUGUUUGAUUUAAAAGGAAGCACACUUGGAAGGACCAUAACCACCACUUCUGUUCAGCCUCUUGAAGACAGCCAGAGAAGGCUUUCCACCUGACCUACUACACGACCUAUUUGAGGGUGUCGUUCCUGUGGAGUUGGCGCAUUGCAUAAAAGGUUUGAUUUCUAAGAAAUAUUUUACCUUAGAAGACUUAAACAGAGCAAUAUUGCGCUUU